rnacentral:rRNA from 1 species
AGAAUCAACGCUGGCGGCGUGCCUAACACAUGCAAGUCGAACGCGAAAGUCCCGAAAGGGCGAGUAGAGUGGCAAACGGGUGAGUAACACGUGGGUGACCUGCCUUCGAGCGGGGGAUAACGUCCCGAAAGGGACGCUAAUACCGCAUAACAUCCUGCCUUUGAAGAGGUGGAGAUCAAAGCUGGGGAUCGCAAGACCCGGCACUUGAAGAGGGGCCCGCGUCUGAUUAGCUAGUUGGUGGGGUAACGCCUACCAAGGCAACGAUCAGUAUCCGGCCUGAGAGGGCGACGGACAACGACUGGACGUAGAGACACGGCCCAGACC